rnacentral:miRNA from 1 species
CGUGCUGCGCUCAAGUUG